AUGAACGCUAGCGACAGGCUUAACACAUGCAAGUCGAGGGGCAGCACAGGUAGCAAUACCGGGUGGCGACCGGCGCACGGGUGAGUAACGCGUAUGCAACUUACCUAUCAGAGGGGGAUAACCCGGCGAAAGUCGGACUAAUACCGCAUGAAGCAGGGGCCCCGCAUGGGGAUAUUUGCUAAAGAUUUAUCGCUGAUAGAUAGGCAUGCGUUCCAUUAGGCAGUUGGCGGGGUAACGGCCCACCAAACCGACGAUGGAUAGGGGUUCUGAGAGGAAGGUCCCCCACAUUGGUACUGAGACACGGACCAAACUCCUACGGGAGGCAGCAGUGAGGAAUAUUGGUCAAUGGGCGCGAGCCUGAACCAGCCAAGUCGCGUGAGGGAUGAAGGUUCUAUGGAUCGUAAACCUCUUUUAUAAGGGAAUAAAGUGCGGGACGUGUCCCGUUUUGUAUGUACCUUAUGAAUAAGGAUCGGCUAACUCCGUGCCAGCAGCCGCGGUAAUACGGAGGAUCCGAGCGUUAUCCGGAUUUAUUGGGUUUAAAGGGUGCGUAGGCGGCCUUUUAAGUCAGCGGUGAAAGUCUGUGGCUCAACCAUAGAAUUGCCGUUGAAACUGGGGGGCUUGAGUAUGUUUGAGGCAGGCGGAAUGCGUGGUGUAGCGGUGAAAUGCUUAGAUAUCACGCAGAACCCCGAUUGCGAAGGCAGCCUGACAAGCAAUGACUGAUGCUGAUGCACGAAAGCGUGGGGAUCAAACAGGAUUAGAUACCCUGGUAGUCCACGCAGUAAACGAUGAUCACUAGCUGUGUGCGAUACAGUGUAAGCGGCACAGCGAAAGCGUUAAGUGAUCCACCUGGGGAGUACGCCGGCAACGGUGAAACUCAAAGGAAUUGACGGGGGCCCGCACAAGCGGAGGAACAUGUGGUUUAAUUCGAUGAUACGCGAGGAACCUUACCCGGGUUUGAACGCAUUCGGACCGAGGUGGAAACACCUUUUCUAGCAAUAGCCGUUUGCGAGGUGCUGCAUGGUUGUCGUCAGCUCGUGCCGUGAGGUGUCGGCUUAAGUGCCAUAACGAGCGCAACCCUUGCCACUAGUUACUAACAGGUAAAGCUGAGGACUCUGGUGGGACUGCCAGCGUAAGCUGCGAGGAAGGCGGGGAUGACGUCAAAUCAGCACGGCCCUUACAUCCGGGGCGACACACGUGUUACAAUGGCGUGGACAAAGGGAUGCCACCUGGCGACAGGGAGCGAAUCCCCAAACCACGUCUCAGUUCGGAUCGGAGUCUGCAACCCGACUCCGUGAAGCUGGAUUCGCUAGUAAUCGCGCAUCAGCCAUGGCGCGGUGAAUACGUUCCCGGGCCUUGUACACACCGCCCGUCAAGCCAUGGGAGCCGGGGGUACCUGAAGUCCGUAACCGCGAGGAUCGGCCUAGGGUAAAACUGGUGACUGGGGCU
rnacentral:rRNA from 1 species